rnacentral:rRNA from 1 species
UACGAAGGGGGCUAGCGUUGCUCGGAAUCACUGGGCGUAAAGGGCGCGUAGGCGGCUUGACAAGUCCAAAGGUGAAAUCCCCUCGGCUCAACCGAGGAACUGCCUUGGAAACUGUCUGGCUCGAGGCCGGGAGAGGGUAGUGGAAUUCCCAGUGUAGCGGUGAAAUGCGUAGAUAUUGGGAGGAACACCGGUGGCGAAGGCGGCUACCUGGACCGGAUCUGACGCUGAUGCGCGAAAGGCGUGGGGAGCAACAGG